AGGACGAACGCUGGCGGCGUGCUUAACACAUGCAAGUCGAGCGGAAAGGCCCUUCGGGGUACCCGAGCGGCGAACGGGUGAGUAACACGUGAGCAACCUGCCCCUGGCUCUGGGAUAGCCUCCGGAAACGGGGAUUAAUACCGGAUAUUCACUGCUCCCUGCAUGGGGGGUGGUGGAAAGUUUUUCGGCUAGGGUGGGGCUCGCGGCCUAUCAGCUUGUUGGGGGGGUGACGGCCCACCAAGGCGACGACGGGUAG
rnacentral:rRNA from 1 species